CACGCCACGCCCUGGGUGGAGCCCCUGCCCAUCACCUCCACCACCGAAGACAUCCCUAUAGAGACCAUGCCCUCCACAGAGUUGCCCUCCGCAGCCACUCCUCUGUCCCGUCUGAUCUCCGCGGCCCCCUCCCCCGCACUCAGCUCGUCGUACCGCUACUGCUACCUACUGCUUCUAGCCUGCGCACUCCUAUUUAUCAUGUGAUGUGUCUUUCAUUCCUGUGGAAGAAAUUAAGGAAGAGGAAAAAAACCUUCUAUUUCUAUUUUGCACAUGUUAAUGGAUAUCGUGCAUUGAUAAUUUAAGUUUCUCACAAAUGAAAAAAAAAAUAGAAAAAUUAAUAAAUGAUGAUGAAAUAAAGUGAAAUACAACAACAACAACUAUGAUGACAACAACAACAACAGCAUCAGCCACGACAACAACAACAACAACAACAACAACAAUGACGGUAAUAACAACAAACAACAGAAGCUGAAAUAUGAAGAAGAAGAAAACGAGUUAGACCUUUUAGUGAGAUGGACAGAUAGACAAAAUGAAUGAAUGGACAAACGAAUGGACUCUGCACGGACACAGGGCCUUAAAACCCCCAGGGAAGUCAAACAUGUGGGGACUGUGAGUGACUAUAACGAUGUUAUAUUCUGCCCGGCAGCACAAGGAGGUUCCAUCGCCCACCCACCACCCAAAAAAAUCCCUAUUACCCCCCACACACACAAACAAGGAGGUUCCAUCGCCCACCCACCCCUCUAAAAUAAUCCCUAUUACCCCCCACACACACAAACAAGGAGGUUCCAUCGCCCACCCACCCCUCUAAAAUAAUCCCUACCAACCCCCCGCCUCUCUCUCUUGGAAUCCCGACAGCCCCCUGUCUCCACACAAGGAGGUUCCAUUGCCCACCCCCCCCAAAAAAAUCCUUAUUACACCCACCUCUCUCUCUCUCUCUCUCGGAAUCCCAACGGCCCCUGUCUCCACUACAAUCUUCACGCCCCCUUAAAUUGAUUUAAAUUGUUUGUUUAGUUGGUUGUUUUUUAAUUAUUAUUAUUAUUUUCCUCCACCUUUGAAUGACAUCCUGCAAUUUUUUUUGCCAACACCACCAGUUUCACCACCAGUCAUCACCUGGUUGUCAGCACCAACAUACAGCUAACUCAUCAUGCCAAAGACUUGUUCCUGGAUGAAAGAAAGAAACAAAAAAAGACAAAAAAACAAAAACAAAACAAAAAAAGGGGCUUUUACCUGUGAUCCUUCCUUGCCUUCCCCCCUAGCCAGCCUGUGUCUAUGGACCCAUCGCAAGCAGAGAGAGAAGAAGAACGACAAGUCUUAAACAAACAGAAAAAUUGUAGCGGGAAAAGACAGUUAGACUAACUCCUUGGAAUGACGGACAUCCACUUAUUUUCACUUUGAAUUCUUGAGUUGAUUUUUUGUUUGUUUGUGUUGAUUUUUUCAUGUCCAGUAGUAAGAGAAAGGAUUUCAGAUGUAGAGACAGACACACACACGCACACACACACGCACACACACACACACACACACACACACACACACACACACACACACACACACACACACACACACACACACACACACACACACACACACACACACACACAAGCACACACACACACACACACACACAUGCACGCACUUACACAAGCACACGCAAACAUGCACACACACACACACACACACACAAACAUGCACACACAAACAGAAACACACACACGCAGACACACACACACACACACACACACACACACACACACACACACACGCAGUUUUUCCUUUUUUCUUUGUUUGAUCAGCAAAAGCAGUUCAUAGCCAUUGCCUGUGUUGGACUGUGUUUUUCAUGUGGUGGUGGUUGACACACGAACGAUACUCACACACACACACACACACCGCACACCGCACACCGUACACGUGCACACACACACACACACACACACACACACACACACACACACACACACACACACACACACACACACACACACACACACACACACACACACACACACACACACACACACACACACACACACACACACACACACACACACAGAGCUGCGUUUUUGACCCCUGCUCUAGCCUUUGCGUCUCAAUGCUGUUUUGCUUUCCAACUCCAUGGCCUUUGAACAUGUGAUUUUGCAGUUUACAUUUUAAUAGUCAAUAUCCAAUUUUAAUUUUACGUUAUUACAAGGGAGAUCAUUGUGCUUUAUGUUUUGUUUAUUAUUAAACAAAAUAUACAUAUAGUUUUUUUUUAAAAACAACAUUCAUAACUGCUUAAUUCUCCCUGAUCAUAUUUUGUAAACUAUGAUAUGUAUCUUUAACAUGAAAAAAAGUUUAUUAUUUAAUAAUGUAUGUAUUAGCUUUAGAUUCUCGUAACCUGUACCUGGGUCCUUUUAUAGAUGUAUAUAAAAUGAAAGGUUGUUCAUUAAAUGUGACCAUUUCACAAUGAACAGAA